CUUCUAUCGUCGUGGUAUCGAUGCUUAUACUUUUCUGUAUUGUUUCAGGUAAUGAACGUGUGUUUUCUCCAGACUCUGAAUCAAUCACUUGGUUUGUCCUUAUCUAUUGAAUAGCUGAGAUGAUUACCUGUGUGAUUGAACUACUCUUCUGGUGCUGUCUGUAUAUUGGUCUGUCCUUAUCUAAUGAAUAGCUGAGAUGAUUUCCUGUUUGAUUGAACUUCUCUU